GACGUAGGGGGCAAGCGUUAUUCGGAAUCAUUGGGCGUAAAGCGCUCGUAGGCGGGACGGGAAGUCCGUGAAGAAAGACCUGGGCUCAACUCAGGGACCGGCACGGAUACUCUCGUUCUUGAGGCAAUCAGAGGGUGAUGGAAUUCCCGGUGUAGCGGUGAAAUGCGCAGAUAUCAGGAGGAACACCGGUGGCGAAGGCGGUUCUCUGGGAAUGACCUGACGCUGAGGAGCGAAAGUGUGGGGAGCGAACAGG
rnacentral:rRNA from 1 species